rnacentral:rRNA from 1 species
AUUGAACGCUGGCGGCAGGCCUAACACAUGCAAGUCGAGCGGAGCGGCGGACGGGUGAGUAAUGCCCAGGAAUCUGCCUGGUAGCGCGGGAUACCGUCCGGUAACGGGCGCUAAUACCGCAUACGUGCAGAUGAGCCUAGGUCGGUUUAGCUAGUUGGUUAGGUAAAGGCCUACCAAGGCGACGAUCCGUAACUGGGCUGAGAGGCUGAUCAGUCACACUGGAACUGAGACCCGGUCCAGACUCCUACGGGAGGCAGCAGUGGGGAAUCUUGCACAAGGGGCGAAAGCCUGACACAGCCACGCCGCGUGUGUGAUGAAGGUCUUCGGAUCGUAAAACACUGUAAGUUGGGAGGCGUUACCGAAAGAGAAAGCCCCGGCUAACUACGUGCCAGCAGCCGCGGUAAUAC